rnacentral:lncRNA from 1 species
CAAUAUCAUUUGAGUUAGUAUGACAUGAUAAAAAAAAUAUAAUGAUUCAUUAUACAACAACGUCAUCAACAAUAGUAGUAAAAUGGAUCGAUUUUUCAUAUUCUCACUCACCAACUAAUCAAUAGUUAUUAUUUAUCCACUUUUAAUCAUGUAUUUUAUCAAACAAUGAAUGAUGACAGUUGGAAAAAAAGUUCAAGAUCAAUAAGUAUGCUCUGCCAAGACAUGUUCUCUGUAAAAAUAAAAAAUUUAGUAAAUUGCAGAACGUGUUUGAAAAAAGAUUAUUUCGUUAUAAUUUACCAAUUAUCCAUUUUUGUUGAUAUUGAUAAUCCAUACAGAUGCUGAUAUUGAUAACUUGUAGUCUUCCUAACCUCGAAAUCGAUAUAUAAGCUGAACUUACUUUGAGAGCCGAUUUAGGGUUCACAAAUAUAUAAAUUUUAUUGAAUUUUUUGAUUAAAAAAAAUGUAUCACCAGUGAGAAACUAAUACUUAUACUAAAUACAUUACAAAAAAGUUUUUUUAUCAGUUGUCAAGUAUUGUUUUUAUUUUUUGUCACACUUAUGUUGCUGUGAACGUUUGACAUUUCACAUGGCAGGAAAGUCUCUCUCGACGGUUGAACCACGUGCGAAAAACUCACACUAAUGUAAAUGCGUGCGUAUCAAGUUGUAUCCACUAACAAGGGGUACGUUCCGAAAGUCACUCGGAAGCCCGAGACUUCAAGAUGGCUGCUACACGGACAUGAAUACCAUCGUAACUUUUGAUAGUAUUUCAUAUUCGUGUUGCAGCCAUCUUAAACUUUUGAGCCUCUAAGUGACUUUUGGAACGUACCCAAGGGCUCAUGACUUCUUGCACGUGCAUGUGUGUAAGCGGGAUCGUUGUGUUUUUUUUUUUUUUUUUUUUUUUUUAUAACAAGCUUGAACUUGUAGUGGGUCACGCAAUCAAGCGUAUACUGUGUUUUGUGUAUCUUCAAGGAAAUAGCUGAUUUAAUUGCACUACAUUUUCAAUUAUUUCAAUUAUCUCGAGCUUGUUAAUAUAUAAAACAGGAUGGUAAGUAAAUUAUUACAUUACUGAAUUAUUAGUUUUUUUUGUUGUCAUUCACAAAAAAAUAUACAUGAGUUCAUUGAUUACGGUGUUAUUGAUCUCGAUCUGAAUUUUUUUUUUUUAUCGAGAAUUUAGUUUUUAUGUUUACUUGAAUUUUGUAAUUUUUAAUAGUAGCUUACAGUGUUUUUGUAUUGCAAACAUUGUUGUUAUUAUUGAAAAUAAGUUUUUUGUUCUUUCAAACAGUACAGCAUGAAAAAAAAAAAACAAAAAAAAAAAAACGAAAAAAGAAACUAUAAAUUGGUUGAAAAAUUAUAUCUUUUUUAAUUUAAAAUAGGCAGAAAAUGAUGAAAGACAAAUAGACGACCAAGAUGAUGUGGGUCAUAUAGACAUUCAGCCACGUCAACUUCGUCGAGUAGACGCUGUCAGUCGUAUUGAGGGAAUGAAUAUUGUGCAACUGAUAAGUGAAACACCACAAGGUAGAGCUAUCAUUGAAGGAUACAACAACUCAAAUCCUCAUCAACUACCGAGACAAAAAAGAGACCAAAAAUACAUCAGAAAAAUUGUGGGAGAUGCUGGUUGAAAAAUUAAUGCAAGAUUAGGAGUGUUUGAUUUAGAAACAAUGUCAAAAAAAAUAUGUGAAAUAUUUAAAAGUGAAAAAGAAGAAUUUUAUUUCCAAAGAAAAGUGGAUGGUACAUACUCUGGUUCAUUAUGGCAUUAUGUCAAAAACCAAAAAGCUGAUGUCGUGGGUAUUCGACGAAAAUCUUCAGUUCUUGACGAAGAGGUACCACAUGAAAUGCAACAAGAUAUUGCUGAAAGUAAAGCAUUUCUUGACGAAAAUACAUGCGAGCCAUGGGACAGGGUGGAAGAAGCAUGGAAAUUAACACUACCAUUACGUAAAAAAGAAUUACAAAAACAACCAGCACAGGAAAAAAAAAAAAAAAAAACAAGAAAAAGAUGAUGAGCCUCUGUCAUUGACAACUUUUUUAAACAAUUGGCCAAGUUUAAAAAAUUCGUCAGGGUACAGACUUAUCCAAUUGGAUUUUGGUGCUUGGUAUCCAGAAGCAUAUGUACUGUCAGAAAAUAAACUUGAUCAGCUUAUUUAUAAGUUGAAUAUAAUACGUGACAGCAACAAGAAAGAAGUACAAUUAAAAUGGGCUGCUGAACUCAAUGAUUUGAAGGAAUCGAUUGCCUCUGAGAACACAAGUCAAAUUGUAAAAGGUGCAUCAAAAAUCAAAAUGCUCGCAUACUUGAUGCCACCACAUGGACGAGCCAAAAGACGUGUAAAAACAACACUUGUUGACGUUUUUCUGAGUAUGAUAAUGCACGUUGAAACUGGUGAAGCAGUAGAUGAGGCAAUAGCUAAAAGAUCUCGAAAGCUGAAAAAUUUGGGUAAAACAAUUCAGCCAAUUAUUGUUGUCAUUGGAAUAGAUUGGAAUCAUCUAAAUGAAGUACUUUGUGUCAUCGACGAUGUAAAGUGGAAAGUAGAUAACGUUGUCACUGCUUUAGACGUAAUUUUUGAAGCAUUUUUCACGCUGGAUGUACAAUACCCCUAUGAAAUGUCAUCCAGCAAAUCUUGUACAACGUUAAAACACCAAUUCACUAUGAAAGUGUUGGUAUUAUCACCAAUCUGUCACCAAUUCCAGAUACUGAUGAAAUAAAUUAUACACCAGAUGUUCAACAAGUCCAUGAGGAACAUGGAUACAAUGAAAUAAUACCAGAGGUACCUGAAGAACAAGAUGACAACGAGGUCAUACCUGAGACACCUGAACGUCUUGAAAAUGACAGUGAUGGAGAAAAUCAAAUUAAUUGCAGAAUGGAAUAUAGAAAACAAAAAUUUUCAUUAAUCCCAACACGUAAAAUUUAAAUAAGUAAAUGAAGAAGAAAAUAUUUAUUACUGGGUAUAUUAGUUGACAUUAUUCAUAUUCUAACGAAUCAACAAAAUAUAUAAUUAUUAUUAUAUUUUUUACAUAUAUUAUAAGACAUAAUAAAAAAUUUUAUUUCAAUGUUUGUUUUACUUUAUUAAUAAUAUAAAAAAAAAUCCUGACAAUGUAAAACCAUCGUUUUCUUUUCCUGUGAAUGUAUUCAAUAAAUAAAACUAUUAAGAAAAAAUUCAAUAUCAAAUAUAAAUUUAAAUUACUAGUGGUUUUUUAUGAGAUUUUUUAAAUUUUAAUAAUUAUAUUUCUUUUAUUUUUUCAUAUAUUUAUUGUUAAAUGUUAAUUUAUUAAUUCAAAUAUGAUUCAUUUUUUUUUAUAAAUGUCAUGCUUUAUACGGACAAAAAUUUUCUUGCCAUCACGUAGUAGCGCUCGUGACUCAAUGGGAAAAUCGUUAGGUCUUAGAUAUCGUGUUCGCGUCGGUCGAGGGUUCGAAUCCCCUCAUAGGUUAAUUAUUUAGGUUUAGGAAAAAAAACUCAUGCACGAAAAAAAGUUGGAUUUGUACCAUUCUUCUGUUAAUUAACAAAAGUAUCAUUCAAUAAAUAAUUUUUUUUUUUUAUUUAAAUUAGCAGUAAUUUUCUUCUUGAAUUAAAUCAAAAUUUGACUUGACAGUUGUUACGUACCAGGUUGAUUUAAUUAAAUUAGUCUAUGAAAUAACAAAAGAAAAGAAGAAUAUUUAAAUUGAAAAUUAAUAAUAUAAUUUAUUAGGAAUAAUUUAAUUCAAUCAACUUGGUAUUUAACAUUAUUUUUUAAAAUCCUCAUAUUUUGUUAUUCCCUACAGGGUAACGGGUUAGGAGGGAAUGUGUAUGAUUGUAGAUGUACCUUGAUGUAAGAAUAAUCCGAAACAAUUGUUGAGAGCGUGUCAAUCUGGAUGGUCGCCUGUUGAUGUUUGUAGUCUCGAAUAAUCCAAACGGUAAAAUAAACUCGAAGCACAGAAAACAACACCCCGGAGAAAUGUCACAGUCAAUAAUUUUUAUAUAGGAUUAGGGAAGGUUAAAUAACACAGGAAAUAAUAAUUUAUCACAAGAAUUAAUUAGUUUAAAUUCACUCGAAAAAUGUUAUUUAUUUAAAACGUAAAAGUUCAAUUGAUUUUAUUUAAUUUUUAUCAGAUGUAAUUGAUUUAAUUUUAAUUUUAAAUUUUUAAUUUAGUUUCAAUGAUUUGAAUAGAACGAAAGUUGUCGCAAGAGUGACGCUCCUUAAUAUUAAAAAUAAAAUUAUUCCCAUAAAAAUUUAAUUAUUAGGUAGGGAUGAAAAGUGGUACCAUAGUUGAACCAAUCGGAUUUAAGGGUUCCCAUGGUAGUCAGCAUUUAAUAAUUUGCUUAAACAUUUUGUUAAUAAUAAUUUAAUAAUUUUAACGGAUGUAAAAUCUCGAGUUGCAAAGGUGACUUUGAAAUGUGUUUAUAAAAUGAUUUUAAAUAAAAAUUUAUAAUAUUGUGAGAAACAAGUAAAAUGAUAAUUUUGAUUAAAAUGCAUAAAAAUAAUUUUAGAAAAUAAAAAAAAGAAAGAUGUUAUUUGCUGACUCGGUAUCUCCAUGUGUUAAAUCUAUUAAAUUAUUAUUUUUUUUAUUAAUUAUAAAUUAUUUUAAUACCAAGACGUAACACAGUAAUCUUUUUCUUCUCCAUUCAAGGCCAUUUUGGAUUAUUUCCAAGAAGCCUUGUUCUAAAAUUUAGAACUAUUGUUUAUGAAGUGAGAACAAAAAGGUUUUUUUCAAGAAGUAUGCGUCUAAAUUCAAGGUCAUUUUGGAUUAUUUCCAAAAAGCCUUGUUCUAAAAUUUAGAACUAUUGUUCAUGAAGUGAGAACAAAAAGGUUUUUUUCAAGAAGUAUGCGUCUAAAUUCAAGGCCAUUUCGGAUUAUUUCCAAAAAGCCUUGUUCUAAAAUUUAGAACUGUUGUUCAUGAAGUGAGAACAAAAAGAUUUUUUUCAAGAAGUAUGCGUCUACAUUCAAGACCUUUUUAGCAUUUAUUUCAAGAAGUUUUUUCGUCAUUAUAAGAAUAACUUUUCUUUUUUCAAAUCUUUUUUAGGUUUAUUCUAAAUCUAAUUUUGUCAUGUUUCAAGAAUUUUUUUCUCUUUUAACAAGAAGUUUUCCAUUUAUAACAAGAACUUUUUUUCUUUUUUUAAAACUAAAAAUUUCCUAGAACGAAAAUUCUAUUUUCAAGAAGUUUUGUUAUCAAAUAUAGAAUUUUUUUUUUCAGUAGCCUACAUUUUAAUAGAAAUUUGAAAUAAUUAUUAAUUGACAAUUAAAAAAAUAAUUUAAACUCAAAAAUUAAAAUUAAUCAAUGAAUUAAUUCAACUAUAAUUUAUUGUAUAUAUGUAUAUAAACGCAAAAAAAAAAAAAAAAAC